GUGUUUGUUCUUGUUCUGUGUUCUCUACAACAUCAAGAUUGUAAUCACCAACAACAACGGUGAUUCUGUGUGCUCUGAAAAGAUAAAGUUGUUUCCACUUACCAACUGCAGCAACGAGAGCGAAAAUGAUGAUUAGCUUCAUCUUGAUAAAUGAGUGGGAAUUCAACAUAUGGAUAUGAGCAUGAUAUAUGUGUAGGGUGUUAUUUAUUUAACAAGGUAUUUAAAACGUAAUUAUGUUUUGGAUCAGGAGCUUUUUUAAUCGAAACUUUUUUUAUUCAUGCCGUGUUUUAACAACUGUUGUUUUGCU